AUACCUUUCUCGGCCUUUUGGCUAAGAUCAAAUGUAGUAUCUGUUCUUAUCAGUUUAAUAUCUGAUAUGUGGGCCAUGUGCCCACAACGAUAUUAAAUUUAUUUUUUGUGGAGGAGGGUCCACCACAGUGGCUUGCCACUAGGGGGCCCUCGUGUGUCGCCUGGGCGUUGCACUACAGCCCAGGCAGGCGCACCCCAA